UGCCGGGAUUGUAUCCUGAAGAAAAUAGGUGAGGAGGGGAUCGAAUCCUGCCCCGUAUGCAACGCUGCUCUUGGGAUUGCUCCUGAAGAGAAACUCAGGGAUGAUCCAAAAAUUCAGGCUAUCAGGGACCAUGCGUUUCCACCUAAAGCAGAAGUUGAUGCUUCUGAGGCUCCAAGUACUACACUGCCAGCAAAGAUAAAAGAGAGGUCCAUUUCUUCCUUGGUUGAAACCCAGAAGAUGGCAACACAACCUAGUCUGACAGGACAGAGAGCUGCAAGAAGGAAAUUCAUGUCCCAUUUGUUUUCUGUCGGUAAAUUGCCAAAUAAAUCGGAAGGCUAUAAUCAGAAGACUGAGAUGGCCUCAGCACCAAAAUCAACCAAGGUGCCAACAUCUGCAAACAAAAAGAAGAAUAGUGCAGAUAUUUCUGAAGAUGGAAAGAAUCACGAGACGAUUGACAAUGAAGAGCUUCAUAAGCCCUUACGGAGCUUAGUCGUGGCAAGCGCGAAGAAGUCACAAACAUUAUGUUAUCUGGGGGAAAGUCGGAAAAACAAAACAACCACAGAGGAUAGUCUGAGGGAAAGCCCAGAAGCAGACUCGGAUGAUGGAAUAACUACCCCAGUCUGGUUUUCACUAGUGACUUCACUGAACCAGGCAGAAGCUAAACGGCUGCCUCAGAUAAAAAAUAAUUUCUACAGAAUUAAGUGA
rnacentral:rRNA from 1 species